CCCCAAAGGUCGAGAGGACGCCCGGCGUGAUUGAGGGUAAGAGACAUGCUGUUGACGAGACGGAGCAGGUGGUCGGCAAGAGGUUGAGAGUGCCGUCACAGUAUGUUGUUUCCCCUUUCACGGCUGAGGCCAAGAGGAGGACGUUCAUCGAUGGGACGUACCCGAACUUAUUCAGAGAGGUGGACAAUGCCAAGUGGAAAGUGUUCGAGACAGAAUGGAGGAGAAUUAUCCCCGGAGUUAGCCGCACGAUAGGUCAAAGGACGGUCUCGGACCCUUACAAGUGGUUCCACGAUAUCACCACUGCGGGAGCUUGGCUCGCUGACGAUCACAUCGACCUGGCCAUGGAUUUCCUGUGAGAUCGAGCUCAAAGACAUCCAAAAUCAUUUGAUGUCCAUGG